UUGACUUGGACAAUAAAAUAAUUAUUAUUUACUGAUCUGAUCUCAAAUCA
rnacentral:rRNA from 1 species